rnacentral:rRNA from 1 species
CACACCGCCCGUCACACCAUGGGAGUUGGUUUCACCCGAAGGCAGUGCGCUAACCGUAAGGAGGCAGCUGACCACGGUGGGAUCAGCGACUGGGGUG